GACGAACGCUGGCGGCGUGCCUAAUACAUGCAAGUAGAACGCUGAAGGAGGAGCUUGCUUCUCUGGAUGAGUUGCGAACGGGUGAGUAACGCGUAGGUAACCUGCCUGGUAGCGGGGGAUAACUAUUGGAAACGAUAGCUAAUACCGCAUAACAGUAGAUAUCGCAUGAUAUCUACUUGAAAGGUGCAAUUGCCUCACUACCAGAUGGACCUGCGUUGUAUUAGCUAGUUGGUGAGGUAACGGCUCACCAAGGCGACGAUACAUAGCCGACCUGAGAGGGUGAUCGGCCACACUGGGACUGAGACACGGCCCAGACUCCUACGGGAGGCAGCAGUAGGGAAUCUUCGGCAAUGGACGGAAGUCUGACCGAGCAACGCCGCGUGAGUGAAGAAGGUUUUCGGAUCGUAAAGCUCUGUUGUAAGAGAAGAACGAGUGUGAGAGUGGAAAGUUCACACUGUGACGGUAUCUUACCAGAAAGGGACGGCUAACUACGUG
rnacentral:rRNA from 1 species